rnacentral:rRNA from 1 species
AGAGAACGCUGGCGGUAGGCCUAACACAUGCAAGUCGAACGGCAGCGCAGGAGAGCUUGCUCUCUGGGUGGCGAGUGGCGGACGGGUGAGGAAUACAUCGGAAUCUACUUUUUCGUGAGGGAUAACGUAGGGAAACUUACGCUAAUACCGCAUACGACCUACGGGUGAAAGCAGGGGACCUUCGGGUCUUGCGCGAUUGAAUGAGCCGAUGUCGGAUUAGCUAGUUGGCGGGGUAAAGGCCCACCAAGGCGACGAUCCGUAGCUGGUCUGAGAGGAUGAUCAGCCACACUGGAACUGAGACACGGUCCAGACUCCUACGGGAGGCAGCAGUGGGGAAUAUUGGACAAUGGGCGCAAGCCUGAUCCAGCCAUACCGCGUGGGUGAAGAAGGCCUUCGGGUUGUAAAGCCCUUUUGUUGGGAAAGAAAUCCAGCUGGCUAAUACCCGGUUGGGAUGACGGUGCCCAAAGAAUAAGCACCGGCUAACUUCGUGCCAGCCGCCGCGGUAA